GCAAUUCUAUUUCACUAUUGAAAGACGGCUCAUGCACCUUCCGGUCACAUUUUACGUUUUCCCAAGCCACCUAUUUAUAGAGUUUACAAGAGUUCUAGUUAUCAUAUACCAACCCUAACCCUAAAACCCAUUUAACAAUAAGACUCGGCCCAUUUAGCCUUAGCCCAUGUUUUACAAGGAUAGCUUCAACAUAUUACAAAGAAAAAAU
rnacentral:lncRNA from 1 species